rnacentral:rRNA from 1 species
UACGUAGGGGGCAAGCGUUGUCCGGAUUUAUUGGGCGUAAAGCGCACGCAGGCGGUCUGCCAAGUUCGGAGUGACAGUUUCCAGCUUAACUGGAAAAGGUCUUCGAAAACUGGUGGACUUGAGGACUGGAGAGGAGACUGGAAUUUACGGUGUAGCGGUGAAAUGCGUAGAUAUCGUAAGGAAGACCAGUGGCGAAGGCGGGUCUCUGGACAGUUCCUGACGCUGAGGCACGAAGGCCAGGGGAGCAAACGGG